rnacentral:rRNA from 1 species
AUUGAACGCUGGCGGCAGGCCUAACACAUGCAAGUCGAGAGAGCGGCGGACGGGUGAUGAAUAUAUGGGAAACUGCCUGCUGGAGGGGGCUAACUACUGGAAAAGAUAGCUAAUACCACAUACCAUCAGAUGUGCCACGAUGGGAUUAGCUAGUAGGUGGGGUAACGGCUCACCUAGGCGACGAGCCCUCGCUGGUCUGAGAGGAUGACCAGCCACACUGGAACUGAGACACGGUCCAGACUCCUACGGGAGGCAGCAGUGGGGAAUAUUGCACAAUGGGCGCAAGCCUGAUGCAGCCAUGCCGCGUGUAUGAAGAAGGCCGUCGGGUUUUAAAGUACUUUCAGCGGGGAGGCGUUACCCGCAGAAGAAGCACCGGCUAACUCCGUGCCAGCCGCCGCGGUAAUAC